UACGGAGGGUGCAAGCGUUAUCCGGAUUCACUGGGUUUAAAGGGUGCGUAGGUGGGCAGUUAAGUCAGUGGUGAAAUCUCCGGGCUUAACCCGGAAACUGCCAUUGAUACUAUCUGUCUUGAAUACCGUGGAGGUGAGCGGAAUAUGUCAUGUAGCGGUGAAAUGCUUAGAUAUGACAUAGAACACCAAUCGCGAAGGCAGCUCCCUGGACGAAUACUGACACUGAGGCACGAAAGCGUGGGGAGCAAACAGG
rnacentral:rRNA from 1 species